AACUAACGCUGGCGGCGUGCCUAACACAUGCAAGUCGCACGAGAAAGUUGGCUUCGGCCGAUGAGUAAAGUGGCGCACGGGUGAGUAAUGCGUGGAUAAUCUACCCUUUAGUUAGGAAUAACGUACCGAAAGGUGCGCUAAUACCCUGGUAAUACUGAGCAACUACUGUUGCUUAGUCAAAGAAGGCCUCUGUUUACAAGCUUUCGCUUCAGGAUGAGUCCGCGUACCAUUAGCUUGUUGGUGGGGUAAUGGCCUACCAAGGCUGCGAUGGUUAGCUGGUCUGAGAGGAUGAUCAGCCACACUGGAACUGAGACACGGUCCAGACCUCCACGGAGGGCUGCAGUAACGAAUCUUGGGCAAUGGGCGAAAGCCUGACCCAGCGACGCCGCGUGCAGGAGGAAGCCCCUCGGGGUGUAAACUGACUGUCAGGGGUUAGAAAGCCGAAAGGUUGAUCAGCCCCAGAGGAAGUCGACGGCUAACUUCGUGCCAGCAGCCGACGG
rnacentral:rRNA from 1 species